UUCUCAUUAGACCUUGAUGAAUGUCUUCUAGGACUGAGGAGGGCGAAUCCUGAGCUGCCAGGACCCCUAUUCUUUUUACAACCCAAAGAAAACUUGAAAGAAAAUGAAGAACUUUGUCCUUAGAAACAAGCCAUCUGUUACAGAGCGGAGCAAACCAGCCAGGCCUCUGUGAGCCUCACAUCACUUCUGCCAGGCGCUGGCUGGGCAGCCUCUGUUGCAAGCUGUCUAGUCUCUAAUUCCUGUAACUCAGGAACAAUAUCAACUGGUUGAUGAAAUGUCUGGAAGAGUCCAGGGCAAAGUAAAUGCAGCAACAAACUCCAACUUAGCUCUGGCCAGGAGUGGCUCUGCAAAUUCUUUCUCCUUCUGGGACAGGCUGGAGGAGAGAGUUAAACCAGAGGAAAGCAAGAUUUUAGACACGUGCGAAAGGGUCCUCAGUCCCUGCUCCUCUCUCAGGCUGAGACUUUAGAAUCCCAGAAACCACAAUGAAGUCUCUUGCCCGUGGUUCCCCCACCCUCCCUCUGCGUCCUAGCAACCCUGAUGCUUCCUCAUGUGGCCCUCUGAUGACAGGGAGUGCCUUGCAGAUCAACAAGUGGAAACCAAAAGCAAGGCUGAAGCCAGUGGAAAGAUGAAGGCAGGGACUGGUUAUUCCCUCUCCUGACACAUGGCCUGAAGGAGCCUUCCAAAAUACAGACACAACCUGGGAAAGGCAGAAAACAUCCUGCGUUGAUUGAGAAAUCCCUAAAAUCAAUGAGAUAAUCCUGAACUGAUCACGAAUAAACUGACAUGAAUGUAAA